ensembl:lncRNA
CAGGUCCGGGUACAGAUACAGGUAUGGGUACAGAUACAGGUGCAGGUACAGAUACAGGUGCAGGUAUGGUACAGAUACAGGUGCAGGUAUGGGUACAGAUACAGGUGCAAGUACGGAUACAGAUACAGGUGCAGGUACGGGUACAGAUACAGGUGCAGGUAUGGGUACAGAUGCAGGUAUGGGUACAGAUACAGGUGCAGGUAUGGGUACAGAUACAGGUGCAAGUACGGAUACAGAUACAGGUGCAGGUACGGGUACAGAUACAGGUGCAGGUAUGGGUACAGAUGCAGGUAUGGGUACAGAUACAGGUGCAGGUAUAGAUACAAGUGCAUGUAUAGAUACAGAUACAGGUGCAGGUAUAGACACAGGUGCAAGUAUG